AGCGCAGGCGGGAGAACAAGUUGGAAGUGAAAUCCAUGGGCUCAACCCAUGAACUGCUUUCAAAACUGUUUUUCUUGAGUAGUGCAGAGGUAGGCGGAAUUCCCGGUGUAGCGGUGGAAUGCGUAGAUAUCGGGAGGAACACCAGUGGCGAAGGCGGCCUGCUGGGCACCAACUGACGCUGAGGCUCGAAAGUGUGGGUAGCAAACA
rnacentral:rRNA from 1 species